rnacentral:lncRNA from 1 species
GCUUGGCCUUUGUACGCAGCUAUGAGAAGGCGUUCAGAAAGUGCAGCGACCGCAUCCUGCUGGCUCAUGAAUUAGGAGAAAAAGAGGUUUUCAGGAAAGCAGUAGACAAGUUCCUUCAGCUCAACACGAUGCCACUGGCCCGGGCAGGCACCCACGGGUAAAGACGCUCCCGAUCAUCAGAAGGUGCCUGUAUUACUAUGCCAUCUUCGGGACCUAGAGAUUACAAACAAAGUUGCCAUCAGCACCGCUCAGCACACAGGACAGGCCACGCACCUCCUCUCUCUGAUUCUAGGGCAUCUGCUGAUCGCUCACUGCAGGGGACAGAAGCUGAGUGAAGAUAGGACGAGCAGGAAGCACAUACUCUGCACACCAAGCCCCUGAACUUGCGAGUAGAAGGCAGCAGAUGUGCCAACCUCCCUCCCUUCUUCCUCCUUCAGGGACAUUCUCCAGAGGACUAUGGCCAAAACUGUGAGGUCUGCUCUGUACUUCCAUCCCGGGUAGCAGAGGCCUGAUAUAACCCCAUCAACAUCACCUGGGUUCCAGGCCUGCCUUUGGCAGGUAACUGUACUGCGCAUGAUGACGAAGGGCCUUCUGGCCGUGUUUUGUGGGUCCACCACAGCCGACAUGCUGAUUCCCCUGGCAGGUGAAGAUGCCCACGGACCACCCCCCACAGAGACCCUCAGGGGUGGGUUAAACCCUUGGGUGUUCCGCCAGCAUUUACUGCAGGUUUUUUGCUUCAUCCUUGUCUCACUGGGAACAGUGCAGCUUCCUGAGUUCUGGGACAGACCAAGAACUGGGCACAGGCCCGGGCCAUCGCCCAGUUCCAGUUACUGCCGGAACAACCCACCUUGGGAACAACGCGGAUGCUAGAAACCCUGACAGUGCAUACUGCCAACCGCAUCAGGAGGGCCUGGUUUUGUUGCUUCCAUGCUUAACAAGAAAUAAAAGGCCUACUGAAACCACCUACAGGACGCAAAACCCCAGUCAGAGAAGUGGUCUAGAGGUAGUAGUAACUGUAGUAAAAUUAAACUCUUCUUUCCACCAAAUGACAAAUGAACACAAUUUUAAAGACCGACUUCUCCCAGGAGCCCUGGGCCACCAUUAGAGCAAACCAAAGCCAUUGGUAAUUUAUCCAAAGUAAAGUGUUCUUUGGAAGGAAUGCUUUCAAGAAUUGAACCCACUCAGGGUGCCUGGGUGGUUCAGUCGAUUAAGUAUCCAACUCUUAGUUUGGACUCAGGUCAUGAUCUCAUGAUUUGUGAGUUCAAGCCUCACAUCUGGCUUUGUGCUGUCAGAUUCUCUCUCUCCCUCUCUCUCUCUGCCCCUCCCCCAUGUGUGUGCAUGCUCUGUCUCUCUCUCUCAAAAUAAAUAAACUUAAAAAAAAAAAAAAAGAAUUGAAUCCACUCCUGCUAGGACAGCAAGUAAGUGAAAGCUUGUGUUUUGAAACAUACUUAUUAAAAAUACCUAUGGGGCGGGGCGCCUGGGUGGCUCAGUCAGUUAAGCGUCCGACUUCAGCUCAGGUCACGAUCUCGCGGUAUGUGAGUUCGAGCCCCGCGUCCGGCUCUGUGCUGACCGCUCAGAGCCUGGAGCCUGUUUCAGAUUCUGUGUCUCCCUCUCUCUCUGACCCUACCCCGUUCAUGCUCUGUCUCUCUCUGUCUCAAAAAUAAAUAAACAUUAAAAAAAAAAAAUACCUAUGGGGCACCUGGGUAGCUUAGUCAGUUGAGCCUCGACUCGAUACAGGCUCAAAUUGUGAUCUUAUGGUCCUGAGAUCAAGCCCUGCAUCAGGCUCCACUCUCAGUGUGGAGCCUGCUUGGGAUUCUCUCUUACUCUCUCUCUCUCUCCCUCCCUCCCUCCCUCCCUCCCUCUGUCCCUCUCUCCUGCUCGUGCACUCUCUCUCUCAAAAUAAAUACUUUAAAAAUAUUCCAAUACAUGCAAAUACAAAGAAAAUGCUGUGGCAAAAGGACUGCACUCUUCACCCAAGACCCUACCACACGUUCUAAUUUUGAAGGCCUGGAAGAUACAGACAUCUUUUACAGUUGCUUCCAGGCAAACCCAAUGCUCCUUUCAACCUCUAAGAUGAAGGAAUUGGCCAUGAGACGACUAGGAAAGAUCUGGACUCUACGUGCCUUGCUCUAACUCUUGUUCACCAUGACAUUCCAGGCAAUUCAUUUUGCCAACAGCUCUGAGAGGCUGGGGUUAAAUGAUCACACAUAAAACAGACACACACACACACACACACACAAAGAGGACCAUGGUGGGAUUAAAGAUGGCAGUUUACUAUGUGAAAGUAUUGGCCAAAAUGUGAAUAACUUCAAAAAGGUAAUUAUUAUCCCUCCUGCCCCAACUUGUUAAUCAUCAACUUUUCUCACUUCAUCUGUAUGUUGCCCAAAAUGUGGUUAAAGAGUAGCAAGGAAAGAAAGAACCUUCAAAUCCACCUGCUCUGCUCAUUGGAAAUGCAAUAAACCCGGAGAAGGUAUGCUCCAAAGAGAACUCCUCUCUUAGCCAUGGUCAGAGACCCCUGGGAUGCAUGAGGAAUCUCGGUUGAAUGAAUGAGCCAAUGAAAGAAUCAAGCUGCAACUCAAAACAGAGAAACAGAGCUGGAAAAUCCACUGGAAAUUCCCAGGGUCCCACUGAAAGACUAGUUUAGGCUUUAUGUUUGCCAGACUGUUCUACAGUGUAGAAGUUGUUUUUGGAAACGUUGGAUACAUUCUCUAUUCAGGUAAUCUGUGGUAUCUGUAAACCAAUUAUACUGAGCUUCCCAAUACUGGGUUUGCCCCAAUAUUGUAAGAACACUCCAGGCACAAAUGGCAGGAAGCUACAAUAUUAGCCGUGACUUCCAAACUGCUCUCCCUCCACAACCACAUUGUUCAUUUACUCAUUUGUUGUCUUUGCACACUCAGCCUGAACUGCCACCUUCCCCUGUAUCCAAACUUUCCUUGCAGUGAGCAUCUGAACGUCUCAAUACAAUGGCCCAAUUCAGACAAAUACUAUUAAAAUUUCACUCAUUUUACUUCAGAGCUUAGCUCCUGGAGAUAGAGACAUCCUUGCUGCAAACUAGUGCAGCCCACCAGCUGAGGUCACGAGCUCCAGUCCAGCAGCACUGGCCAGUCUCCCCAGCAACAGAUGCAGGGGUCAGCAGGCCUGUAGUACAUGGACAGCCACUCCCCUCCUGUCCCAGACAAUAAAUUCAGCUCUCAGACACCCACUGCCAUGGUUGCAAGCUACUGAGAUAGCCUCGUUUAUAUAACUACCUUUGGUAAACAGCCCUUUAUAAGUCUAGCACACAUUACUACUCACUUUGUUUUAAGACAGAAAAAAACACUACAGUUGAGAAAUAUUGUCCAGACUUUUUUUUUCUUCAGUUACAACUACUUAAGAAUGAAAUGCUCCCCACUCCCCACCCUAUCCCACCCCUUCCACCAUGGCCAAUACACAGCCUGCCUGAGGCACAGGGAUUUGUUGCUCACAGGAUUUUGGAUACCGCUCCCACCACCCCACCACCCCCAACUAGAAUUACAUAGAAAACUGCCUGCAAAGUCAGGAACAGAAUCCCAGGUUUCCAGUUCCUAGUCUGUGGUUAGCAUCAUCCCUACGUGCUUGGGCAUCUCAAGUUCAUUCUCAACUGAAAUCCAGUAAUAGCGUCACUGGUAGGAUGCCCAGUAUUCACCUACAGUUGCAUAUACACACAGGGUGGGUGGGAAAGAAUCAAAGUGGCUGAGUCUUCUUUUCUGUUUCCUCUCUGUACCUCCAUCCUUUUGGAGGAAGGGGCUUCUCAUCUGAGACCUCUGACCUGACAAAUCAGGAAGGCAGAGGCGGGUUGAGGGAGAGGAAUAAGGAGGAUAGAGGACCUUCACCAAUGAAUGGGGAGGGUAGAGGAAUAGAGACGUAGCAACUAGUCUGCAAUCAACGAGUUAAACUUCACUGCCAACCUGUUGGGUACCUCGGCUGUAGCAGCCCCAUUCCCUCAUUCAAUCUGAGCCUCCUCUUCCAAGUAGAUCAGCUAUCAUUCAAGACACUUCCCACUGUUGGCGGUGAGGAAUUUCUUCUGCCCUAUAUCUAUCAAUCACAUCCUUCUUUGUCACAAUGCUCACUUUCACAGCAUUCUGGAGAAAAACACUAAAUGCAAACAUACUGCCAGCUCUUUAAGCAGAAAUGAAAUAAAUCCAUGAUCAUAAAUAUUCAAUGAGCAUCCUGAAUCCAGAAAGGUAUUUAGCUUCUAAGAAAGAUUUCCCUGCUUUGUCCUAGCCCACCGCCCCAUUUUGACUGCAUUCCAAUUUGCAAAUGCUUUUUUUCUCUCAUCACGAAAGCUAGAGGGCCACACAGCUGCUUGGUCUGUGAUGCAAUCUGUUUUAUUUUUAUAGCAAAAGGUCUAUGAGGUUUGCUUUUGCUGCUUUCUUGAGGAUUUACAAGAAGUCUCCCGAUACCAAUAUCCCCAAACUACUACAUUCAGUUUCCUGACAGGCAACAUAUUUUAGAAGAGACCUGCAAACAGAAGUCCCAGCCAGGCAUAUGCAUACCCCACCCAGAGACAGUCCACAAGCACCCAGAAUCAGUGGUUAGGGGAGCACCAUCAGUUACAAUAAUUCACUUUGCUCCCACUGCUUAAAACUCUGUAGUGAAGAGGGGCGCCUGGGUGGCGCAGUCGGUUAAGCGUCCGACUUCAGCCAGGUCACGAUCUCGCGGUCCGUGAGUUCGAGCCCCGCGUCGGGCUCUGGGCUGAUGGCUCAGAGCCUGGAGCCUGUUUCCGAUUCUGUGUCUCCCUCUCUCUCUGCCCCUCCCCUGUUCAUGCUCUGUCUCUCUCUGUCCCGAAAAUAAAUAAACGUUGAAAAAAAAAAAAAUUUUAAAACUCUGUAGUGAAGAGAGAUCGUACUCACAUCCGGGGGUCUGUCCUCCCCAUUCUACAUAGUGUUCUGUUGCUGGGUAAUUGCUGUCAAUUAUUUCCUGGAGACAUGAUUAGCUUCCUAGGGUUGUCACACCCAGUGGGUCUGCAAUCAUUUACUUGCCUUUUUCCCUCGAGCUCUCUCUGCCAACUCUGGCCAAAUCACAUCUGAAAGCUUAUUAAGACAUCCAUUCAGCUCACAAUGUCAUGGCUUCCUCCUAGUCUGCUCGUCACAGCUUCUGAAAGUCUUAGGGCUUCAGGUUUUGUCAGACUGCUCCCUUCUGCCGGCAAAGGACCUGUAACACUGCCCUAUCGAAGAGUCAGGGAAUAAUUCACAAAUGGGAGGAAUGCUUUUGAAUCAGAGAAAUGAAGUCUGAACUCUGCCAGCAGUAAUGCCAGGAGAAGAGAGGGAUGUGCAUGUUGUAAAGGAGGGAGAACGAAGGAGGGGUCAAGAUCUAUAAUGAACCACCUUUCUGGUGACAACAGUCCACCCUCCUUGGCAGAGAGUUCCAGCACUGUGACUGCAGCCGCACGGGAGACAAGAGGCUGGGAGAGCAGCUGUUUCAGUGUUUGUAAGUCCAGAGUCUGUCUCACAAAUGCUCCUGUGAGUCUCUGUGGGGUGGGGGAAGGGAGAAGACAGGGAGCAAAACUGUUCAAGUGCUGUCAGUGGUCCUAAACACCACAGGGGUGUCCUCCAGACCACUUGUAGAAGCGACAGAAAACUAACUCCCCAACUGAAGCAGCCCUAGAAAGGAAGAGUAGAAAGUCAAAUUUCAUUUUGACUUGAGCCGCAUCACCACUUUUUCCUUAUUUCUAAAGCAAGAAUUAUUGGUCCUGAAGAUGGGAGAAUUAAUGUCAACGUAAACCCUCCCUGAUCAAGACCUUGCCCCCAUCUCCUUGAGGGUAGCAGCUCUUAUGGGCAACAGGCUGGGAUUCUGCGUGGCCAUUAUCUGGUUUAUACCAAAGGCAGAACAGCCAGACUCACGGCAGUGCGUUACAGGGAGACUGAAUUCCGCUGGGGAGACAAAGCGCCAAUAGAACGACAAGCUUAUUUUUAGCAUACAAAAAUUGUACUAGUUUAUCCAGAGGUGGUGACUGCUGGAUACUGCCAUCACCCCUGGGGGACAAAUCAGGUUAGAACAGAGACUAAUGUGACUGACUCUCUACAUUAAAGAAACCGGCCCUGAUGAGUCUCAGCGGGGGCCCAAAGGCCAGAGGCCAGAUGAGAAAUGUAAACCGAAUGUGACAGAAAUAUAAAGAAAGGAGUGAUUACUUUUCUCAAAGCUUCUGGGACAUUUCCUUCUUCUGAGAAUAUGUAUUCCACAGGUAGGGACCCUCAACAUAAUACUAUCAUUGAGAACAGUACAGCACUGGCCAUUCACAGAGCCUGGUGUCCACAAAUGCUAUCUCCAAAACACCAGGACAACAGGUGCAGAGCAAGAGCAUGACUCAUUUUCUAUACCUCACUAUUGCAAAGGAACGCGUAUGCUACCUGAAGUACAGUACUUCUGACACUUACUGAAUCUUUGAAAUAAUCACCUUUGCAGGAGGCAUAUGGAAGCUGUUGUAGUAAAAAGCUGAGUGACAUCAGGAAACCUGUGACAUACUCUACCAUAAAGAAAAGCUGCUACAAAAUGUAAAAAUAGUACCAGAGGCAUAAAAAUAUCAUUGAAUGAAGUCAUGACUGUCAGAAAGCUUGUGGUGUAGAGACCUCUUCUUUUCACAUGGGACAAUAAUUACUUGUUGACUGCCCAGCACUGCUACAUCACCAGAGCCACCAAGCUGGGGCUACUGAAAUCACAUAUGCUGAUAUCUGCAUGCUCAAAAUCCAGAACAGGAGUCAUUGCUGAGCUUUCUGCGGUCCCUUCUUUCCCCAGAUAAG